rnacentral:lncRNA from 1 species
AAAAUGGUUCAUCUAGACUCAAGGAGUAAAGAAAUGUGAUAAAAAUUAUUUUACGAGCAUUGGGGCAAAAGUACAAAUAUGCAAAAGUUUAGGGGUCAAAAUGAAAAUUUGUAAAAAUAUGAUUUUUAGACCCAUAUGAAUAUUGUGACUGAUUGGUAGGCUAAAUGUGAUAUUAUAGAUCAAGGAAAUCGAGAUUUGGACCUAGAACGGA